GGGCACUUGACUUUCUGGAUAAAAGGUGUCAAGCUCGUCAAGUACUAAGCUUUACACCACCAGCAGCAGAUUUAUCCUGGCAGCAUAUUGGUGAAAACGCUGGAGGAGAGAGUCAUCGCUUUGUUAUUGGCCCUUGGACGCCCCUG